rnacentral:tRNA from 1 species
AAUCUUAUAUUCAAUUAUGAUUUUAAAUUGCAAAUUUAAAGGAGAGGUUAACUCUAAGAUUU